rnacentral:rRNA from 1 species
GACGAACGCUGGCGGCGUGCUUAACACAUGCAAGUCGAACGGAAAGGCUCCAGCUUGCUGGAGUACUCGAGUGGCGAACGGGUGAGUAACACGUGGGUAAUCUGCCCUGCACUCUGGGAUAAGCCUGGGAAACUGGGUCUAAUACUGGAUAUGACCUUUCUCCUUAUGGGGUUUGGUGGAAAGUUUUUCGGUGUAGGAUGAGCCCGCGGCCUAUCAGCUUGUUGGUGGGGUGAUGGCCUACCAAGGCGACGACGGGUAGCCGGCCUGAGAGGGUGAUCGGCCACAUUGGGACUGAGAUACGGCCCAGACUCCUACGGGAGGCAGCAGUGGGGAAUACUGCACAAUGGGCGGAAGCCUGAUGCAGCGACGCCGCGUGAGGGAUGACGGCCUUCGGGUUGUAAACCUCUUUCAGCAGGGACGAAGCGUAAGUGACGGUACCUGCAGAAGAAGCACCGGCUAACUAUGUG